GAUGGACGCUGACAGAAUGCCUAACACAUGCAAGUCAACUUGAAGCAGUCUCGGCUGUGGAUGGUGGCGGACGGGUGAGUAACGCGUAAAUAACUUGCCCUUUAGACUGGGACAACUGUUGGAAACGACAGCUAAUACCGGAUAUUAUGAAACCUUGGCAUCAAGGGAUUAUGAAAGCUAUAUGCGCUAGAGGAGAGAUUUGCGUCCUAUUAGCUAGCUGGUGAGGUAAUGGCUCACCAAGGCGACGAUAGGUAGCCGGCCUGAGAGAGUGAACGGCCACAAGGGGACUGAGACACGGCCCUUACUCCUACGGGAGGCAGCAGUGGGGAAUAUUAGACAAUGGACCAAGAGUCUGAUCCAGCAAUUCUGUGUGUUUGAUGAAGGCCUUCGGGUUGUAAAGAACUUUAAGUAGGGAAGAAGAAAGUGACGGUACCUACAGAAUAAGCGACGGCUAAAUACGUGCCAGCAGCCGCAGUAA
rnacentral:rRNA from 1 species